GCAGCUCAGGGGUAGAGCAACUACUUUGCAUGCAGAUGGUCCCAGGUUCAAUCCUCUGAAAGAGACU